GGUGGGCGGAGAGCGGUCAACGGAACUCUCGAUAUGGCAACGCGCCUGAUAACGUCAGGGGGCUGGCCACGCAGGCUCUGCCGAAAGGCAGAGUUGCACGCUUCGACGUGCAGCGUUCCGGUUAGACCGGAACGUAGGUGCGGCUAAGCUACGGAAAGUGCCACAGAGAAGAGACCGCCGGCGGAGCGCAGCACGGUGGCAGUCGCGCAGGGAAACCUGAGCGACGCCAGAAUGCGUGCAACGUUAGGCAAGGGUGAAAAGGUGGGGUAAGAGCCCACCGCUCCGGUGGUGACAUCGGAGGCACGGAAAACCCCGCGUGGUGCAAGGCCAAAUAGGAGGGGAGAGCCGGCCCGGCUCGCUGAGCGCGUUUUCGAAAGAAAGCGCGCUUCGUUCGCGGCGGCGCAAGCCGCUGCGAAUGGAGAACCCUCGGGUAGGCUGCUGGAGUCACGGUGCGAACCGUGACCUAGAGGAAUGAUCGCCGCGGUGAACAAUUCGCAAAAUCAAUUGUUUACUCGACAGAAUCCGGCUUAUAUGGCUCGCCCGCCAACU
rnacentral:RNase_P_RNA from 1 species